rnacentral:rRNA from 1 species
CAGAGGUCUCGAGCGUUAGGCGGAAUCACUGGGCUUAAAGCGUGUGUAGGCGGAUCGGUUAGUACCUUGUGAAAUCCCACAGCUUAACUGUGGAACUGCUUGGUAUACUGCCGGUCUUGAGCCACUUAGGGGCUACCGGAACAAAUGGUGGAGCGGUGAAAUGCGUAGAUAUCAUUUGGAACGCCAAUGGUGAAAACAGGUAGCUGGGAGUGUGCUGACGCUGAGACACGAAAGCCAGGGGAGCAAACGGGAUUAGAUACCCCGGUAGUCCUGGCCGUAAACGAUGUCGACUAGAUCGUGGCGCCUUCAACGGCGUCACGGUCGAAGCAAAAGUGCUAAGUCGACCGCCUGGGAAGUACGGUCGCAAGGCUA